rnacentral:lncRNA from 1 species
CAAAGGCUUCCGGGUCACAUGGCCAGCGUGACAAAGCUGCUCUGGCGAACCGGCACCAGAGCAGCGCACGGAAACGCCGUUUACCUUCCCGCCAGUAAGCGGUCCCUAUUUAUCUACUUGCACUUAAUUGUGCUUUUGAACUGCUAGGUUGGCAGGCGCUGGGACCGAGCGACGGGAGCGCACCCCGCCGCGGGGAUUCGAACCGCCGACCUUUCGAUCAGCAAGUCCUAGGUGCUGAGGCGUUUACCCACAGCGCCACCUGCGUCCCUUUUUCGUUUGGUAAUGAGUUGUAAUUCAGCAACUUCUCUUUCAAGUGUAUUUCUGGAACUCAUUUGCAAUAAGACAGCCACUUUAAGAUCUUGUACAGAAUGUCCUGGGAGACUGAAGUGUUCUCCUACUGGUUUCUCUGUUUUAUGAUUCCUAGGUAGGAGACAGGUUGAGGUAAAAGGAGUGAAGGGGAGAAAGAGUUGGUUCCAAACAAAAAGAAGAAAGAACUUCCGCUCUGAGCGUAUUGUGAAGGACAACGUGUGGUGUCCUGUAGGAGGAAUAGACCAGAAUUUUACUGGGAGGCAGAGACUGAGGCAGGAGAAGGAGGAGCUGGAAAGGAACAGCCUCCUUGGGACUCAAUCCAGUCCGGAGGGGAGAGAUUCUUCUGAGGAAAAGAAGGAGCUCCCAGACCCAGUGAAGGGAUGGCGUGUGAAGAUCCCUUUGGUCUAUUACUUCAAGUUCCUCAGGAGCAGGAUUGUUAAAGGGGGUGGGUAGCUGAAAGAAUGUAUCACCUUAUAAAGGAACCAACCUGCAGGCACGUACAAAGUCCAUUUCGGGGGCCUAAUCCAGCCCCUGUGGCAGUUUCAUCAAAUCUGGCCCUCUUUGAAAAACGUUUGGACACCACUGCGUAUAACGCAACCAAAAACAACUGAGGUUCAGUUAAAGUGAAAUAGCAUUGCAUUCCUGAAGUAACCUAAGUUUUUUUUCACUUGUGUUAUAUACUAUCUUGCCUUAAAUAAAUCUUUAAAGAAAACCGGCCUGAGACUCCAAUUUCCCAGGUUUCCCCUCACAACGGUCCCCCGUAGGAUAAUCUGGGUUAGAAUUUUAAGGAGAAAAAAACCUUUGGGUAAAUGGGGUGGGGGCAAAUUAUCUGAAUGAGAACGGCUUGAGAGGGGAAAGUGCUGUUUCGCCCGUAGCAUAUUACUUGGUGGCAGCGCCACGAUACGAAGUUAAAACCCACACAGAAACGUACCCAGAGACACAGAACAACCAGUUUAAUAAAGUACUGAAGUUCUUUUAUUAAAAGAAGGAAAAUUUCCUGUCAGAAAAUGACCAGCAAGCGGCAAGCAAAAGAGACUCGGGAUGACCCAGUGCAGGGAGCUACUGCACCUGAGGAAAAUCCUAGUACUGAGUUAGAAAUGACAAGGUUAAGGUUAGAAUUGGCUAAAGUUGAAGCAGAGAAAGAAAAGGCAAAAUUAGCAGCUGAACAAGCCAGAACUGCAGCUGACAUUCAGUUAGCACAGAUACAGACUGAGAGAGAUAUGGCACAGAGAGAGAGCAGAUUAGGAGGAAAAAGAGAAAGAAAGAGAUGCCAGAUUAGCCCAAGAAUACAGGGAAAGGGAGGCCAAGAUGGCCCAUGAAAAAGAUAUGUUUCUUUUAAAAAUGGAGGAAAUUAAGCUGAGGGCAGAACUGCCCCAACCGUUGUUGGGGGGUGGAGAUUUUAUCUCAGCUAAUAUAAAGAGGUUUAAAAAGUAAGUAAAAGGUGAUGAUGUACCUAUUUAGUUUUGAAUGGACCUGUAAAGACUUAAAUAUUUCUGAGGAAAACUGGAUGCUAUACUUACACCCAUAGGGAUGUGGAAUUUUGAGUGAAAUAUACUCAGUUCUAAGAGAAGAUGAAACCUCUGGUUACCUCACAUUUAAAGAGAGAGUGAAAGUGAUGUCUGUUUUAUUUUCACCUCCAGCCAGGCAUCUGCAAAAUGCUGAUAUCCUGGCUGGCAUUGUGAUGUUUGUAUAUGCCUUCAUCACAGUUGAAUUCUAUUACAGUUUAAUUGCUAUGUUUCUAUGUCUUGAGUCCCUGUCUAGAAAAAAUGUGGGAUAUAAAUAAAUGUAAUAAAAUGGUGGUGAUGUUGAUGUCAGCAGCCCAGCUGAGGCUGAAAUCAGGAGCAGCUGGUGAUCUACUAGUGGUUGGGUAGAUCUUGCACUCAUGUCAUUCGAACACGUGGCCUUUCAUCAGGUGCACAACGCUUUUUGGAGGGGUUGGGGUUGGGAGGGUUACCUUUCAGGUCUGAAUUCGUCUGGUUCCGGCCAGUGUUCGGGAUCCCGGUGAAGCGUGUAAGGCGGGAUAAUCACACUCAUGCCUUUCAAGAUAGUCACCCCAUUGAUUUCUACAUCUUUCUUGCAGGUCCUUUGCAGCCGUCCUCCAAGGGGAUACAUCCUUUGCGUUUCGCUGAGGACCAUGUCAAGAUAUUCCAGUUGCAUGAUGGCAUCGUACGUGAGAGGAGCCUUUGGGGGAAUUCAAGGGGGAAGGUUAGCUGUAACCGGUGGGACCCUGAACCAGGCUCAGACAGAGACCUUCAGAAGGAAAGAUCUCAGCUGAGGUGGCCUUAUUCUGAGAUUUCUGUCCAUAAAUAUGACAAUCUCCACGGGUUGCAUUCAACCACUGGUGGAGGAAGGCGGAUGCGGGGCAUGCAGUACGCACCGGGUGUCAGCCAUGAGGGGAGGUGACAUUCCGCGCCAAACACACACAGACCCCGCUCGCUGCGCGGGUGGCAGGUGCUAGGGACGCUUGCUGUGUGGGCAGCUAGCCCCGCCCCUGCAGGCCAGCUAGCCCCGCCCCCGCAGCUCCAGGUGCCAAGGCAGGUAGCUUUGCCCCUGCAUUCAACAGCUGCACAGGUGGUAUGCAACUUAUGCAACUGAUGUGUUUCUCUCUCCACUUCCCCAAUCUAACAUGGCUCAGGUGCUAAGAUCCUCAGUUGAGCCCCUUCUCUUGGAUCAUAUCAAAAUCAGAAGCCCAACUGGCAAUGACUCAAGAGAGACAGGGCCUUUUCUGUGGCUGCUCUGAGAUUGUACUAUUCCCUCCCAAGAGGGGAUAGACUGGCUCCCUCUCUGUCAUCCCUCUGCCAGCAGGCUAAGACCUUCCAGUUCAAACAGGCCUUUGAAAUCUAAGGUCCAGGUGAUGCUGACCACUGGGCUGAUGUCAGGGCAAACUGGAUUUUAACUGCUGGUACUAAAUUGUGUUUUGGUGUAUUUUCGCUUUAGUUUCUAACUGGUUCAUUUUUAUUACUCCUCUGUCCCUGCCCCCCAAAUUAGAUAAAUAACUCUCCUGUAACUUCCCUACCCCACCCAAAAAACCUUUUCCAUUAGGUCUGGCCUCACCUUUGCAACCCACACAUUCUUACCUUGUUGGGCAAGAUGGUAUCUAUCUCAUCUUGAAGCUUCUGCUGGACAUCUGGGUGAGUGGCCAAGAGGUAGGCCGCAUAACCCAGGGAGUUGCUGGUGGGUUCGUAUCCAGCAAAGACAAAGAUGAAGGACUGGGCCAGGAUUUCAAUGUCAGUCAAACCUGCAAACAAGCAGAAGUGAGAGAGUUCAAGUGUAAACAAGUACAGCCUGUAGUCUGGCUGGGAACAUGAUCCGUGCAGGUAACAUGCAUUGCAAGGCAAGGGGUUGCUGGAGGUAUAAAUGACUAUCAGAUUUUGAAAAGCUGGUCUCACAAGAUCAAGUUCAUGAGUUUUGUUGAAUUAAUUGAACUAAACCCUUUUAAUGUGAUUUUUCAAUCAAUGUGCAAUCAAAUGUUGCUGUUUUGAAUUUUAUUGUGUCAUUGUCUGCCUUAGGGUGUUGUGCAAAUCGCUAUUUGGAUAGUAAUGCUUUUGAGAGGGGAGGAGGUACUGAGAAUGAGUUUGUGGAAUCAAGGGGGGGCAGUAAAAAAAUGGGAAUUCUGGGAACAGUCCUGCAGGCAACUUAAAUAAGGUGGAAAGUGAUAUUCUGAGGCCUUUACCACUGAGUGUAAUGACAAGGGAGAGUAGGGCCUUUUAGGUUGUGGCUCUCUUUCUGUGCAAAACUCUCCCCUGCAAGGUCUGCCAAGCACCUUCACUGACCUCUUUUUAACACCAGGAAAGGCUUCCCCCUGGCUUUUGAUAGAAUGAAAUGAUGCUUUGCUGCUACUGGUCUGCUGCCCAAGCUUCCUAUGGCUGUUUAUGGGACCUGCUUUGUUCUGUUUUGUGCUAUAAUAUAUUUAUAUUUAAAAUAUGCUGUGAGUCACUGAAAGAUCAAACCUAUCCAUUUUUAAGGAAAUCAGCCCUGAGUGCUCACUAGAAGGACAGAUCCUGAAGCUGAGGCUCCAAUACUUUGGCCACCUCCCUGGAAAAGACCCUAAUGUUGGGAGAGAUGGAGGGCACAAGGAGAAGGGGCGACAGAGGACGAGAUGGUUGAACAGUGUUCUCAAAGCUACUAACAUGAGUUUGACCAAACUGUGGGAGGCAGUGGAAGACAGGAGUGCCUGGCGUGCUCUGGUCCAGGGGGUCACGAAGAGUCGGACACGACUAAACAACAACAACAAAGUCACUUGGAGACCUUUGAGUUACAAGAGACUGAAAAGUCAUUAUCAUCAACAGCAUAUGUAGUGUUAGAAGACUGUGUGGCGUUGGUUUGGAAUCGUGUCUGUGGGUGCAGUCUUGUUUCUGGCAUCCUUCUGUCUUGAGAGACGAUGGAGUGUGCCUCUGGGGGUGAAGUCAAAUCGCUGUAUUUGCAGGACUGAAGUGACCCCUCCAGUACCCCAAGCCUGGGCAGUGUGUCUGGAGGUCCUGGGCUGCCCAGAAGACCAGAACCCUCCUCUUGGCCUUGCUGAUGUCCAAAGGAAAGCAGAGCAAAACAUUUGGCACCACCUUGGCUGCAGGACUUGCUGGAAGAAGGCGUACAAGGCACCAUCCAAUUGUCUUAGGGAUUCCGCUCUGAAUUUCUGUAGGGUUUACUCCUCAGCCUUUUCUUCUCCCAAAGAUAUCCCACCAAAGUUUAGGAUCAGAGUUUUCCCACUCCUAGAUGGGCUGCCUUCCCAGGUGGACGAGACCCAUUUGCUCCUCACUUCCCUCUACAGCACAUGCAGAAACUGUCGUAGGACACACUAUUGGUCUCUUCCACUCAAUCUGCUGGAGCCUGUCUUCAACUACCAGACUUUUAGAAGACAUCUGAAGGCAGCCCUGUUUAGGGAAGCUUUUAAUGUUUGGCAGACUAUUGUAUUUUAAUAUUUUGUUGGAAGCCGCCCAGAGUGGCUGGGGAAACCCAGCCAGAUGGGCGGGGUAUAAAUAAUAGCUUUAUUAUUAUUAUUAUUAAUAUUAUUAUUAUUAUUCAGGUGCAAGUGAAGUUCCUAAGUCAUCGAGGAUUUGGGCAAUUUCAACUCCUCAGGAAAGACAACUCGGGAACAUGAUCUGUGUAGGUAACAUUCAUUGCACUGCAUUUUUCAAACUGGGAUAGGCAAUUUCAAGUCUUCAGGAAAUACAACUUCCCUUCAGUUCAGUUAAAUUGUGUGGCAUUACCUUUAUAGGAGUGGUUCAAGCCAUUGCUCUGGUGGUCAGUCUUGGCACUUUGGGAGUCAAUCAUCAGCUGCAGGAAAUCCACCCGGCCCUAACCAGAAAACAAAUAAACCAGUGGAGGAAAUGUGCGGCAGAGAGACUCCCAUGGGGGCCACUGGGCCGAGAUGGUUUGAAGCCCCUGGUUUUUUAAAGGGCUAAAUACAGCCAUGAGAACUGGCCCCCUUUGCCCUUGAGGACAUUGGUUGUGAGAUCAUCUCACUGUACUUAGGCACAACUGGACAUACUGAGGGGGUAAGAGAGUCAAGAUAUUAGGCUGUUUUGUGGAGCAAAAAGCAGUGAAGCAGCACAGAGAAAAGUUGAAUCCUAGGGGAUUUUUCAGUGAAAAAUCACGCACACACACAACACACACACACAAAAUGAAAGCCCUUUUCCAAGCCAACGAUAUUCAUCCCCAAAUUACGGCACAGUCUUAAUUCUUACCUUUUGCCCUUCUUUCUGCCGUGUUUCCUUCAUUUUUGCAAAGGACCUUGAAAAGAAGCUUAAAGCUUCUGCGUUGAAUAAAUUCACAUUCAUUAAUUUGAGAAGAGGAGUCAGGAAUGGAAACAUGGCUGCAAGAGACAGAAAUCGUACAGUGAACAGGAAUUAACCUUCCUGAAGCAAAGCAUUGGACUGAGGACUAACAGGUAAGUUACACCCUCUAUUGUGAAUGUGGGGCUGUCGUAACCCUACCUGGCCAACUCCCCUGGCAACGUCCCCCACAGCUGGGAUUGGUUAAUUGUUGAUGCUAGGCGGGAACCUCCAGGUAUCCAGCUGGGGGUGAGGGUGGGGGCAAAGCCAGUUCUUAGAAUAAUCCUCACAAUAUUUUAGAUCCAAGUGCAGUCUAGAAAGAAAUCCUAUUUUGGAAAGGCCAUCAUGGCUCAAUGGUCGACCCACAUUUGGUCCUCGUGACCAGGCUGGGCUGGGAAUGGCCCCUGUCAGAAACCCUGGAGGACCUAGUAGAAAAAUCUGUAGAAAAUUCUGUGCUUGAUGGACCAGUUAUUAUGUUUCCAUAAUAACCAGACUGCAAACUUCCACUGGGCCAUCAGAAAUCAGAAGCCAACUUACCUAUCAAAACGAAGCGUGGAUCAAAAGAUCCAAACUUGGUCACCUUCUUGAUCUCCUUGACAAAAGGAUCUGCAGGGUUGUUCAUAGAGUCAAUAUUCACACCAAACGAAGUACUGGUGACGACAUCCAUGCUGUAGGCCCCAAAGAUGCUGGGGAGGGAACAGAGCAGCCAAAUCAGGCUCUCAGUAUACAGUGGUACCUCGGGUUACAUACGCUUCAGGUUACAGACUCCCCUAACCCAGAAAUAUUACCUCAGGUUAAGAACUUUGCUUCAGGAUGAGAACAGAAAUCAUGCUCCGGCAGCGCGGCGGCAGCAGGAGGCCCCAUUAGCUAAAGUGGUACCUCAAGUUAAGAACAGUUUCAGGUUGAGAACGGACCUCUGGAACGAAUUAAGUACUUAACCCGAGGUACCACUGUACUUAGGAUUUUCCAUAGGCCUGUUUCUGGCCACCCAAUGUGAUCUGGAUUCACCUCAAAGGCAGCCUACAUUGUAUGCUAUGCUAUUUUGGACUGAGGCCUUUCCUGGCUCAAACCACUUACUCCUUCAUAACCACAAAUUCAUUCUUUUCCACUUUCUUCUGAACGUUUUGCAUCAAAACCUCCCCGUAGUGUUUGAUGAUGGGAAACAUCUGAAAUACAAAUCAAUGAGCUGAGAUGUAAACACCUAUGGGCAAUUUCAGACUGAACAGUUUGAAUGGUGCUUGAACUGUACAACCCAUAUUUACCAGUGGAAGUGCUUAAUACUUAAUAUCUUUUUCCUUUUUUUACCUCCUUGAGCUUCCCGCUGGUGAAGGUUGGAGAGAGAAUAGUGCGAAUCCUCUUCCAUUGUUCGUCCUUUGCCAGUGAGACGGCAGACUUCAAGAUCCCAACUAAAUCUAUAUCCUAGAGGAAGCAAAACAGUUUGGAACCAAUGAGUGGCAAAGUCAGGUUUUGAACUCAUGACAGAUGUGGAACCAAUAAUAUCCAACAGCGAAUUGUAAACGGAAUAAACAUGGAGGGCAGUGAUGGCUGGGUGGCAAAGUUCACACUUGACUUUGGGAGAGGGAUUAAUCUGCCCUCCCCAUUACCCCAGUUUGGUGCCAAUGGAGUGACGUGUAUGAACACUCCUCCUUCCAUGAUGCUAUUGUACAGCUUAAGAAGUGAAUGCCUACCCGACGGUUGGUGAAAGUGGUGUAACACUCUUUCACGAGGACAGCUUUUAUAAUAGCCGGAUCCAGCGUAGCUAACAUAGGCUUUCGGCCCUCGUAAAUCCUGGAUUAAGAGUAAAGAAUGGUAUGUUUUUGAGAUCCCAAAGAGAUCCAGUUGCAGAUGUAGCAUUUUCCUGCCCCAGAACAUUUCCUCCUUGGGAUCAAGCAAUGGGAUUUGGGCUAACAUGAGAAAUACAAGCAGGUCAUAAAAGGUCACUUACCCCCAGGUCCUCCCAUAUUUCUGAAAGCACUCUGUAUCAAAGUUGAUAAACCCCUGUGGAAAGACAUUUAAGAAAGUUAAGAACGGCCUUUCUGAACCGGAUUAAGGCUCAUUUUGAGGAGCACCUCUGAUCCCAAGAGGGGGGAGCAGAAAGGGGCCUCAGGAAACCUCUUGAGCAGGGCAGGAAUGUCAGCAGACACUCACCUUACGAUAGGACCAGAUAUUUCCAAAGAAAGGCAACGGCGAUGGACCUGGAAUGCCCAGUUUCUUGAAGACGCCAUACGGCCAAAAUCCAUAUCUGUUUAUUUUGUAAAACGAGAGAGAGAGAGAGAUGCAAAUCUGUCAGCAGAGCAUGAAAGCCUGUCCAGGGUUCAGAGGGGAAACCUGGCAGGUUGAUGCGCCUGUGUGUGGGCUCCUCCUGUUAAAAAAUCCCACAAGGAACUGACAUGAGCACCACAGGGCAAAAAAAUUGGCACACAUGAGUUUGAUUAACUUUGUUGUUACAUUAAGAGUCUUUUUAACCAGUGGGUUUGUUUUUUUCUUAAAAAUGUUUAGGAGUACUCUCAUUUUGACUCAAGAAAAUCACCAUUUUAUAGUUCAAAUCAGGAAAGAUAAAUACAGUAAAUGGGCAAAAGUACAAAGAUGCACAAAAUGUUUAGGGGAAUAUGUACCCCUGCAUUCCCCCAGAAAAAAGCACUGUUUUUACAAUGAGAAAAGUCAUUCUGCAAUUAAAGUUGCCAGAAAACAAGGGAGGGAUUUGUGGGCCCCACCUCACUAAGCUUUAAACCGGGGGUUGAUGUGGGCAGAAAGCAACUGGCCUGCAAAGCUCCUUCAAUGAAAUCACCCACCAAUUCCUAGAGAUCUACUUGCUGCACACCCUGCUCUGCAAUAUAUACAGCAAUAAACAGGCUCCAAAGUCCACCAGCUGAUCUCUCCCCUGAAAAUCCAGAUCUUUCCUUCCCUGUUCUGUUUGUCUUUAGCAAACACCCUUGGUUUUUUGCUGUACUUUAAAAGGAACAUUAUUUUUAUAUUUGCAUGUGUGAGUGUUGAGUUAUAUGUGAAAAGAUGAAAAUGUCAAGCUCAGCAUCUCACCUUCCCCUCCCAGCUUGAAGGCAUAGCUGAGAUCAGAAUAAAAACAGGAGAGUUCAUAAGCCCUGGAGCAGAAAGAGUCCAAUCGUUGCUGCUGUCCAGGGCUGUUUUUCUAGAAAAAGAGAUGCUGGAACUCACCAGGAACCUUCUCUUAGGUGCCCACCUGACAGGUGCCAGAACCGACUGAGAGGUGGCGGGACUGAGUUCCUGGGAGUUCCCCCUGGGGAAAAAGCCCUGCUGCUGUCAAUAUAAAGGGAAGUGUUAGCACGGCCGCAUAAUAUGAAAUGUGACAGGUACACUUUGUCCUGCAGUCUUUGUUCUUGGGCAGAAUAAACAGCCACUAGUCUGCUUUAAAAGUCGUUCAGGGUGGGGGGGAUGCUGGUUGCCCUCACAAAUUGUUUGCAUCCAUUUUCCACAAAGUGCCAUCUCCCAAAUUAUGUGAUACCAUUUUUGGUACAUUGGUACCUUUUGCUUCUUUUCAAUCUCCGGCUAUCAAUAUUCUUGCUGCUGUUAAAGAUCGUGAGAACCAGACAUUGACCUUGAACAAGAAUGUGCCCAGAAGAAGCCUUAGUGAUUGCUUUUUGCAAGACAAGCGCUUUAUUGGAACAGCUACAUGAGAAGAUGGAUUUGAUGACUGUUGCAGUUAAUAAUUUUGGACAAACAGUGAAUACCUAUGUAGAAACCACUCAGGAACCGACCCAGGAAUCUGCUUUGACAGGGCAAGUUGUGCAGAAGACAAAGGAGGAGGUUGCUGUUGAACCUCAAGAAAUACAUGUGGAGAGAGCCGAGGCUUUGCAGGAACAUAAGCUGUUGUUUUUGAUGACCGAACCUGGAGAAAGUCAGAUUUGGAGAGAUGGAGUCUCGUUUGGAUUGGAGAUGGGAAAUUGGAUAGAUCCCCCUAUGCAGGGCUGUUCUGGCUUCUGGGAUCUGGUUUUGCGCCAGGGGGAGUCUGGAGUUGUGGGGGCCUUUAACUUUGGAGGGACUUUGAAACAUGCCUUGAAAUAUCUUUUGGAUUUUAGUGCUGACUAUGGAGAAUGGGCCGACCUGUCGAGAAGGGAUAAAGACAUUGUUAGGUUGGAGUCUCCCCGAGAUCUACUCCUCAGCGAUAAAGGAAGGAAACUAAGAACAAGAUCAGCAGAAGACAAAGUAAGGUGCAGGUAUAAAUAUGAAGAAGACCUGCAGAAGGGACAUGGAAAAGAGUUAAGAGCCUCGGAUAGAAGAUCACCAGGUUGAUGGACUAAAUGGAAUGGAUAGAAAGGACUGACAGAACCCGAGACCAGGAAGAAGAGACGGUGGUUGAAGAUUGGAAGAAAGUUUAAAAAUUCAUUUAGAGAAAUAUUGUAAAAUUAAUGAGUGUUAGAAAAAAUGUUGGAAUGAAACUAUUUGGCUUUAGUAGAAAUGCUAUAAGGAGUUAUGUACAAAUAAGUUUUAAGCUUUAGGGCUUUUUAUGGCAAGAUAAGGUUAAAAUAAAUUAAGAUAAAUUAUAGAACAAAAAUUGAGAAAGAUGGAAAGGAUUUGCUGAAAUAGCUAAUUGAACAAGAAUACAAAAAAGGGAGGUGUGAGGAGGUCGAUGAUACAAGUAAAUGAAAGGUAGAGAUAUAGAGAUAUUGGAUGUGGGUUUUUUUAAAAUGUUUUUGCUUUUCUUGUUGUUUUGUUGUAUUGGUUUUUUGUUUUUUUCUCUUUAUUUUUGAUGUAUUGUGAACUUUUCACUGUUUCUUUCUUCUUUUUUCUGUAACUAUUAAACUUUUAAUAAAUACCUUUUUUUAAAAAAAAAAUUUAUUAAUAAAUCAAAGAUAAAGAGCAAAAGAAAUACUGUCGCAGGAAGUUGAAAGCAGCAGAAGCAGAUAUUCUUUUUUUAAAAAAAAUUAACUGUGGGAUACAAUUAAAUCAGAAACAGAAAGCAAACACACAAACACACACAUGCUGAGUUCUAUUCAUAUUGGGUUGCAACCAUUGCUGGUCCUCCUGAGAGCAGACUCGUAGAAACUAAAGGACGUGACUUAGAUCUAUUAAUUCCAGAGGGUCUACUCUGACUGAAAGUUGGUUGGAUACAACACAGAGAGCCCAACAACAGAGUAAUUACAUUCUGGGUAGCAAAGAGCUGGGUAGCAAAAGCUCAUCCCACCUCCCGCCCUCCGUAAUGGCUAUAGUAUUCAAUUAGAUUGCUAUAAUGUUCUUUACAUGGCUGUGUCCAUGAAAGCAGUUUAGAAAAUUCCAUCAGCCCAGUGAUAGCCAGAAGUGUUUUGUUGAUGGCCAGCUGAUCAAACCGCAUGAGGUCAACCUUUCAUCAAUCUCCAGAGUUGUCACCUUCUUCCCUAGUUUUAAGCUUUAAAGGCCUCGCAGUCCUGGGCUAGAUAGAGUGGGUUAGGAAUUGGCUGCUUCUGCCCAAGAACUUUGUCCUGUGUCUCCAUUCCUUCUCUCUGUCCCUCAGCUGCUGAG